ACUAGUCCCUCAGAUACCCAGACCCGAAUCAAGCUUAAAUCAAUGGCAGCGGUCGCUUUAGUAAAAGAUUCUGCAAUUGAUUCGCCAAAAUGUUAUCUUUUUCUGUGAUAACUUUUGGGUUUGGUUUAUCUGUUGCUUCUAGUUGUCAAAUUUGUGUAUUUCUUUGGUACGUUUUGAAGGGAUUUUAUCCUUGUGGGGAUUCUUGCAAGCACUUUCAUCCCACCGACAGAAACAAGCU
rnacentral:misc_RNA from 1 species